CCUACGGGUGGCUGCAGUGGGGAAUAUUGCGCAAUGGCCGCAAGGCUGACGCAGCGACGCCGCGUGGGGGAUGAAGCAUUUCGGUGUGUAAACCCCUGUUGCCCGGGACGAACCUCUCCUUUCGAGGAGACUGACGGUACCGGGUGAGGAAGCACCGGCUAACUCCGUGCCAGCAGCCGCGGUAAUACGGAGGGUGCGAGCGUUGUCCGGAAUCACUGGGCGUAAAGGGCGCGUAGGCGGUGACUUAAGCGUGUGGUGAAAGCCCGGGGCUCAAC
rnacentral:rRNA from 1 species